rnacentral:rRNA from 1 species
UUUGAUCAUGGCUCAGAUUGAACGCUGGCGGCAUGCCUUACACAUGCAAGUCGAACGGUAACAGGUCUUCGGACGCUGACGAGUGGCGAACGGGUGAGUAAUACAUCGGAACGUGCCCAGUCGUGGGGGAUAACUACUCGAAAGAGUAGCUAAUACCGCAUACGAUCUGAGGAUGAAAGCGGGGGACCUUCGGGCCUCGCGCGAUUGGAGCGGCCGAUGGCAGAUUAGGUAGUUGGUGGGAUAAAAGCUUACCAAGCCGACGAUCUGUAGCUGGUCUGAGAGGACGACCAGCCACACUGGGACUGAGACACGGCCCAGACUCCUACGGGAGGCAGCAGUGGGGAAUUUUGGACAAUGGGCGAAAGCCUGAUCCAGCAAUGCCGCGUGCAGGAUGAAGGCCUUCGGGUUGUAAACUGCUUUUGUACGGAACGAAAAAGCUCCUUCUAAUACAGGGGGCCCAUGACGGUACCGUAAGAAUAAGCACCGGCUAACUACGUGCCAGCAGCCGCGGUAAUACGUAGGGUGCGAGCGUUAAUCGGAAUUACUGGGCGUAAAGCGUGCGCAGGCGGUUAUGUAAGACAGAUGUGAAAUCCCCGGGCUCAACCUGGGAACUGCAUUUGUGACUGCAUGGCUAGAGUACGGUAGAGGGGGAUGGAAUUCCGCGUGUAGCAGUGAAAUGCGUAGAUAUGCGGAGGAACACCGAUGGCGAAGGCAAUACCCCGGACCUGUACUGACGCUCAUGCACGAAAGC